GUGAGGAAUAUUGGUCAAUGGGCGGGAGCCUGAACCAGCCAAGUCGCGUGAAGGAAGAAGGAUCUAUGGUUCGUAAACUUCUUUUGCAGGGGAAUAAAGUGCAGGACGUGUCCUGUUUUGUAUGUACCCUGAGAAUAAGGAUCGGCUAACUCCGUGCCAGCAGCCGCGGUAAUACGGAGGCUCCGAGCGUUAUCCGGAUUUAUUGGGUUUAAAGGGUGCGUAGGUGGUUUGAUAAGUCAGCGGUGAAAGUUUGCAGCUUAAGUGUAAAAAUGCCGUUGAAACUGUCGGACUUGGGUGUAAAGGAGGUAGGCGGAAUGCGUGGUGUAGCGGUGAAAUGCAUAGAUAUCACGCAGAACUCCGAUUGCGAAGGCAGCUUACUAAGCUACAACUGACACUGAAGCACGAAAGCGUGGGGAUCAAACAGGAUUAGAUACCCGUGUAGUCC
rnacentral:rRNA from 1 species